rnacentral:rRNA from 1 species
UACGUAGGCAGCGAGCGUUGUUCGGAGUUACUGGGCGUAAAGAGUGCGUAGGCGGUUUUCUAAGUUUGGUGUGAAAUCUCCCGGCUUAACUGGGAGGGUGCGCCGAAAACUGGAAGGCUUGAGUAUGGGAGAGGUAAGCGGAAUUCCGGGUGUAGUGGUGAAAUGCGUAGAGAUCCGGAGGAACGCCAGAGACGAAGGUGGCUACCUGGCCCUGACCUGACACUGAGGCGCGAAAGCGUGGGGAGCGAACCGG